rnacentral:rRNA from 1 species
AUUGCCUUAGUAACGGCGAGUGAAGCGGCAAUAGCUCAAAUUUGAAAUCUGGCGCUUGCGUCCGAGUUGUAAUUUGUAGAGGAUGAUUUUGGUUAGGUACCUUUCGAGUUCCUUGGAACAGGACGCCUUAGAGGGUGAGAGCCCCGUACGAUUGGAUGCCGAGCCUCUGUAAAUCUCCUUCGACGAGUCGAGUAGUUUGGGAAUGCUGCUCUAAAUGGGAGGUAAAUUUCUUCUAAAGCUAAAUACCGGCCAGAGACCGAUAGCGCACAAGUAGAGUGAUCGAAAGAUGAAAAGCACUUUGAAAAGAGGGUUAAAUAGCACGUGAAAUUGUUGAAAGGGAAGGAUUUAUGACCAGACUUUUUCUAGGAGGAUCAUCCGGUGUUCUCACCGGUGCACUUCUUCUAGUUUAGGCCAGCAUCGACUUCUGGCGGCGGAUAAAAGCUUCAGGAAUGUGGCUCCCUACGGGGAGUGUUAUAGCCUGUUGUAUAAUACGCUGCUGGGGGUCGAGGUACGCGCUUCUGCAAGGAUGCUGGCGUAAUGGUUAUCAAUCACCCGUCUUGAAACACGGACCAAGGAGUCGAACAUUUAUGCGAGUGUUUGGGUGUUAAACCCUCACGCGUAAUGAAAGUGAACGGAGGUGAGAGCCCUUACGGGUGCAUCAUCGACCGAUCCUGAAGUUUUCGGAUGGAUUUGAGUAAGAGCAUAACUGUUCGGACCCGAAAGAUGGUGAACUAUGCGUGGAUAGGGUGAAGCCAGAGGAAACUCUGGUGGAGGCUCGCAGCGGUUCUGACGUGCAAAUCGAUCGUCAAAUCUGCGCAUGGGGGCGAAAGACUAAUCGA